rnacentral:lncRNA from 1 species
UAACUGUUGCUGGCCCCAGUUUAUGUCCACUGAGAUAAAAAUCUAAAAUAAAUAAAUACUGCUACUGGCAUGAUGAAGCCAGCGUAACUUCUUUUUUGACAAAUACUCCUCUUCAACAUUGUAUUGCACAAGAGAGAUAAAGAUUGUUAUCCAUAAAAUAAUUCAAAUUUUAAUGUCAUUGUCUCCUCCCUCUCCUGCAUCCCCCUUCAUAGGUUUGACUUUCAGUGGUCUGUUAAUUCCUGUGCGUCCUUCAACUACCGAACUUUGAAUGUUGGCUCAGAUUCCAUGCAUUUCGAAAGAAUUUCUUCAUUCCUGGCAACUGGAAAGAUUGAUGAAUGACGGAUUGAUUUUUUAUCCCAGCUACACAACAAGACUGCAGGGGGAAUCAAAGGAACAGGAAUCAAAGGAUGUUAACAGGUUUGUGAUACUGGGGUCAUCUUUUGGAGGGUUGGUGUUUUACGCUGGCAGGCCCACAGAACUGACAGUCAAGAUGGCAAUCCAUCACAUCGUUACUUAACUUUGAGGCCAGCGGCCCUCACAACGGUGCCCUAUGCCCCACCUAACGCCGACUUGGCUACCACCGAAGCCUUCCUCUGUAGCCCAGCAAGGCCACGUGCCCAGUUGUACAAUGGAAGACAGCCGAGGGGAGGGCACAAGGGCGGCAAUUUUUGGCAGCAAAGCCUGGCUUCCUAGUGCCAUGGGGUGCCGUCCUGAAGCAAGAGGGGCAAGACUCAAGUCAAGCCAGGGUUGUUGUUGUUGUUGUUUUGUGCUCUUUUAGCCCUCAAGGUCCGCUUCCCUGAAAGAAGGGGAGUUGCGGGAGCGCCCGGUUCCCCUGGCAGCAAUUCCGGUGAUUCCUUAUGGGGAGAUUUUUGUCUGCAACAAUCCAAGAGUUGUGUUCUCUGUUUAUCUAUCUGGCCUAGGCAAAUUCAGCUCUGUAAUCCACUUAUUAAUAACGGGACAAUCUUUGUUCAGGCCUUUAUUAACAUUGUACUAAUUAUUAAUAGGAAUGAAUCCCUAUUUUUUUCACUGGUAGCUGCGUGACGGUUUUCUCCAUCCUACCGUUGACCAAGCAGCCCCUGGCUUGUUACCAUGACAGAUGAGGAAGGCCUUGGGGCCUUUUCCUCCUCAAAGAUGCUGAGGUGGUGCUAGAUCUAAGUGCGCCACCCUCUGCCACCCCAGGAUCUUCUGGGAGGAGAGCGAGCUCCGCUAACUGACAGCCACCCCAAGAAAUCCCACGCACCCCGGUCACUGUGUGGAAGGAGAGAGGUUUUUAAAUAGCCUGGGGUGGGGUGAGCAGGUGUUAAGAAGCACACACUGCUCUACUGGAAAAUAAUUGUCCUACAAGAGGGUCAAUAUCCACCCUCUGGAACUGAACCAAUUUGGCCCGGCCCU